ensembl:lncRNA
GUGUGGUGCUGGAAAGGGUGUGGCUCCCAUUGGACCCAAGCUGAUGGAGGGAGCCUUUAAAAGCACUGCACCACGGAAGAUGAAGUAUGGCACACAUUAUCAACCACCAUAUUUGGCUACUCUCCCAACAUCAUUAUAUGCAACAGCAGUUUUACAACUCAGAUACAGCAGUGUGGUCCGACCUAAUGGGGAACAGCAUUGGAGGCGUUGCACUUGGUUCUUAAUAGUGUGUUGGUCUCACAUGCAGACAUGCAGGUCUACAGCUUCUUCCUCUCCCUGACACAGUUCCUCUGCUAACUCUAGCCACCCUGCAAAUGCACAUAGUAACGACAAGAUUCAAGUUUAUUCUCCUCCUACAUCAUUGACUUACUUUCCAGUGUCGUCUGUCAGCAGCUGCCAGUCUCAAACAUGUCAGUCCAAGUUUAUGUCAGCGAGAUAUCAAGUAAUGCUAUUUUUCUUGCAGUUCACUUCCUGUGCUCACAGGAGUUACUCACCUUGUCCUCUCAUCCCCACCCGCUGCAGAAGUCAACAGACCCUCUGCUGCUGCUGUGAGCCUUCACCCACUUCAUCUCAGCUUAAUUAAAACUUUUGACCUUCUCUUUCUAGAGUCUCAGUUUUUUCUACGUUUUCCAUCGUAUAAACACCACAGUGCCAAAGUCUCAAAAGAAGUACAUAAACCACUGCUCACACUAAAAGCCGUAUAGUGAACUAUACAAUGUUUUUUAUUUUUUCUCUCAGCUGCAGAAGCAACUGUUACUCUGGAUUUUACGGUAUCAAUGAGCGAUGUCCAGGUUCAGCUGUUGUAUUCGAGUAACACAUCCAGGAAAGUCUGCUAGCUUUAAUUGGUGAGAUUAGUAAGGCCUGCAGUUUGACAUACGAGGAUCCACAAGCAUAAAAGUUACACAAACAACCAAUGAGUCCAAUCAAACUGGACAAACUUAGUCCUGACUGAUCACUGGGAAAAUAGAAUAAACACAUCGAUUGUCAGUAGUUGUGAUAGUUUCAAUUGGUGUUUUGUGUUUUUGUUUUUCAAUACCUUUACGUUUCUCUUGGACAAAUCUUGUGUAUUCUUCUUUUUCCUUAUCAUGUUUAGUUGUAUUUUCACUUAGUUUAGUCACGUUUUUUAAUCAUGUAAUACAUUUUUUCUGUCAAAUUUGAUCACUUGUAUUAUGGUUUUCAACAGACACAAAUCCAGAAACUAGAAAUAUAGGCAUGUCUUUUUAUUGUAUUUCUCUGUGGUUCUGAUAAUGACAAACUAAAUGAAACAGUACAUGGGAGAGCAUUUGUGUGAACUGCUGCUGCUGGUCAAACUACCCACAGUCAGUCCCCACACUACUCACCCAUCCACAUAAACUCAUUUAGACCUAGAGAAAAAUGCAGCACAAACCAGCAAAGGAAAAUCACGAUGACGCAUAAAGCAACAAGUUUCUGGAUGGUUAUACUCAUUACGGUGAGGUUCAUAUGUAAUACCGGUCUAUAAGCGCGGGGUCUGUCCACACACACACUCAAAUGUAAUAAACAUACCUGUUGGGUCCAAAAAUUUUCACUUGUCAACUUGUACACAAUACAAAUAAUGUUCCCACACGCGUACUUAUGCAGCCAGAAACCCCAACACCUGCAUGGCAGCAGAUAGAGAACAACCCUCCCCCGGGUGUUCACAUCCGCCACCCAGGCCAGGGCCAGCAGGACCGCCACGUGGGCCCCCAGAGCCAUAGAGCACGGGUGGCUGUGGUGCAGCGGUAGGGUGGUCGACCCAUGAUCGUAAGGUUGCAGGUUCGAUUUCCGCCUUGCACGCGCCUUGCAUGUGAACAAAACUUUAUUAGUUUUGUUCACAUGCAAAAAAAA